rnacentral:rRNA from 1 species
GAACGGCAGCACAGGAGAGCUUGCUCUCUGGGGUGGCGAGUGGCGGACGGGUGAGGAAUACAUCGGAAUCUACCUUUUCGUGGGGGAUAACGUAGGGAAACUUACGCUAAUACCGCAUACGACCUUCGGGUGAAAGCAGGGGACCUUCGGGCCUUGCGCGGAUAGAUGAGCCGAUGUCGGAUUAGCUAGUUGGCGGGGUAAAGGCCCACCAAGGCGACGAUCCGUANCUGGUCUGAGAGGAUGAUCAGCCACACUGGAACUGACACACGGUCCAGACUCCUACGGGGGGCAGCAUUGGGGAAUAUUGUACCUGGUGCGCACGCCCGAUCCCGUCCAUACCGCGUG